UUGUUGGUUGGUUAUAGGGGUUGUAAGGUUAAGCAAUCCCUUGCUAGUUAGAUUGGUGGUCCUUUUGGUUGCCUUUUCGGGGUGUACGUGACUAUGUUCCUCUGGUAGUUAAAUAUUUUCAGGUGAAGGGGAGUAGGGAUGUAAGUGGGGCGGGUCUAACUUUGGCGAGUCGCGGGGCGGGGAUGGGUCUAAAAUCCAUACCCGCCAUGGGUGAGGGGCGGGAGUGGAUUUGAAGUAAUACCCGCCCCGCCUGACCCACCCCAUACCCGCAUUAUACCCAACUCAUAUGUAUAUAAUAACAUUCAGCAAAAAAAAAAAAAAAAAAAAAAAAAAAAAAGAGUUACUGACUAAUGAAGUCUCUAGACACUAGACUUCUAGAGAAAAAAAAAAACCACACUCAUUCAGUCAUUCUCAAAUCUCAACCCUAGCCGACACACACUACUCUCUCCUCUCACCUCUCUUCUCUCAAGCUCAAAUGCCCAGAUCUACUGACUAGUACUAUUGACGCCCCACCCCACCGCAACUGCCUACUUUGAUAGUGGCGGCCGACCUGAUUUUGCUGCCGAUCGACGAUUGUUCACCAAAACCUCCUCACCACCAGCGUCGACUCCAACUUCGACUUCGAUUUCAUCGACGAUGGCGGCUCCUGCUAUUUUCUAUCGUCCAAUUUCUUCGCUGAAUUUCAUGUGUUGUAUAUCAUUGGUAAUAUUCAGAAUUUUCACCUUGAAUUUUCCGAUUAGCUUUUAAAUAUUCAAAAUUUUAGUGAUUGUUUCACUGAUGUAUUGUUCAAAAUUAGUUCAUAUUUUCGGUAAUUUAUCUUCUUUUCAAUCUAAUUUUUUCUGUUUUUAA